UUACAGGCAAACAAAAACAAUAGAAAAGUGGUAUAAGUCAGUAGGUCUGUUGACUAAAACUUUAAACACAAAAAGUACAAUUAUAUUGUCCACUGAAAGGGCUUUUCUUAAUCUGACAACUGGACACAGAUAUUGGCCCAUGUCAAUCUCAACAUGGCCAAAUAUCAAACUAUAAAUUUGAAGGUUCCCAGGAAAAUUUUCAUCAGGAUUCACAGAUUAUGUAAUAGGAAAAACUAACAUCCCUCUGAUAGCACGGCUUUGUUUAUUGUUCUUAACAUGUUGGUGCAAGCUUGGCAGUUAAUAAGCUGGGCUUUAAAUGUGAAUGUCACUUAGGAGAA